GUAAACGAUGUCGACUUGGAGGUUGUGCCCUUGAGGUGUGGCUUCCGGAGCUAACGCGUUAAGUCGACCGCCUGGGGAGUACGGCCGCAAGGUUAAAACUCAAAUGAAUUGACGGGGGCCCGCACAAGCGGUGGAGCAUGUGGUUUAAUUCGAUGCAACGCGAAGAACCUUACCUGGUCUUGACAUCCACGGAAGUUUUCAGAGAUGAGAAUGUGCCUUCGGGAACCGUGAGACAGGUGCUGCAUGGCUGUCGUCAGCUCGUGUUGUGAAAUGUUGGGUUAAGUCCCGCAACGAGCGCAACCCUUAUCCUUUGUUGCCAGCGGUCCGGCCGGGAACUCAAAGGAGACUGCCAGUGAUAAACUGGAGGAAGGUGGGGAUGACGUCAAGUCAUCAUGGCCCUUACGACCAGGGCUACACACGUGCUACAAUGGCGCAUACAAAGAGAAGCGACCUCGCGAGAGCAAGCGGACCUCAUAAAGUGCGUCGUAGUCCGGAUUGGAGUCUGCAACUCGACUCCAUGAAGUCGGAAUCGCUAGUAAUCGUGGAUCAGAAUGCCACGGUGAAUACGUUCCCGGGCCUUGUACACACCGCCCGUCACACCAUGGGAGUGGGUUGCAAAAGAAGUAGGUAGCUUAACCUU
rnacentral:rRNA from 2 species